CUGGGGCUUGUAGAAUAUCAAGUGGAUAUCAUUUUUGACUGCCAUUGUGAGUCAGACCUCAGUUGUCAUGGCCUCUAGCCACUAGCGACCAGUCACUGGAGUUUAUGACUAACUGAGGCCUGAUUGACGAUGUCAGUCAAAAGAUGGCAUAACUUACCAACUGGUCGUGUGUAUAUUUCUCAG
rnacentral:pre_miRNA from 1 species